rnacentral:rRNA from 1 species
UGACCUCGGAUCAGGUAGGGAUAACCCGCUGAACUAAGCAUAUCAAAGGGC